GACGAACGCUGGCGGCGUGCUUAACACAUGCAAGUCGAACGGAAAGGCCCGGCUUUUGUGGGUUUCUCGAGUGGCGAACGGGUGAGUAACACGUGAGUAACCUGCCCUUGACUUUGGGAUAACUUCAGGAAACUGGGGCUCAUACCGGAUAUAAGCUCCUGCAGCACGGUGGGGGUUGGAAAGUGUCGGCGGUUGGGGAUGGACUCGCGGCUUAUCAGCUUGUUGGUGGGGUAGUGGCUUACCAAGGCUUUGACGGGUAGCCGGCCUGAGAGGGUGACCGGCCACAUGGGGCCUGCGAGACGGAGCAGACUCCUACGGGAGGCAGCAGUGGGGAAUAUUGCACAAUGGGCGGAAGCCUGAUGCAGCAACGCCGCGUGCGGGAUGACGGCUUUCGGGUUGUAAACCGCUUUCGACUGUGACGAAGCGUGCGUGACGGUAAUGGGUAAAGAAGCACCGGCUAACUACGUG
rnacentral:rRNA from 1 species